rnacentral:rRNA from 1 species
UACGUAGGUGGCAAGCGUUAUCCGGAAUUAUUGGGCGUAAAGAGGGAGCAGGCGGCAGCAAAGGUCUGUGGUGAAAGACUGAAGCUUAACUUCAGUAAGCCAUAGAAACCGGGCAGCUAGAGUGCAGGAGAGGAUCGUGAAAUUCCAUGUGUAGCGGUGAAAUGCGUAGAUAUAUGGAGGAACACCAGUGGCGAAGGCGACGAUCUGGCCUGCAACUGACGCUCAGUCCCGAAAGCGUGGGGAGCAAAUAGG